rnacentral:rRNA from 1 species
AUUGAACGCUGGCGGCAGGCUUAACACAUGCAAGUCGAGCGGAGAUGAGGUGCUUGCACCUUAUCUUAGCGGCGGACGGGUGAGUAAUGCUUAGGAAUCUGCCUAUUAGUGGGGGACAACAUUCCGAAAGGAAUGCUAAUACCGCAUACGUCCUACGGGAGAAAGCAGGGGAUCUUCGGACCUUGCGCUAAUAGAUGAGCCUAAGUCAGAUUAGCUAGUUGGUGGGGUAAAGGCCUACCAAGGCGACGAUCUGUAGCGGGUCUGAGAGGAUGAUCCGCCACACUGGGACUGAGACACGGCCCCGACUCCUACGGGAGGCAGCAGUGGGGAAUAUUGGACAAUGGGCGAAAGCCUGAUCCAGCCAUGCCGCGUGUGUGAAGAAGGCCUUCUGGUUGUAAAGCACUUUAAGCGAGGAGGAGGCUACUUGGAUUAAUACUCUAGGAUAGUGGACGUUACUCGCAGAAUAAGCACCGGCUAAAUCUGUGCCAGCAGCCGCGGUAAAAC